rnacentral:lncRNA from 1 species
ACAAAGAAUUCUGUUUUUUUCUUCUUCUAAGUGCAUCACAUUGAAAAUAGAUCAUUAUUAUUUUUCAGCAAGACCUAAUGUAAUGCUGUUACAAUAAUUGAAUCGCUCAUUCCUAAGAAGACUUCCUCGCCAAAAAAAAAUCGAAAAUUGAGUUAUUGAUAGUAUGGUCUUGCUUUGGCAUGGAUGUGUCUUGUAGCAAAGUGACAAGCAGAAAAAUGGAAUAUUAAGACCAGUUUAUGGAUUGAUCAUUAUAGUCAAUUAUUGAACUUUAGUUGGUAGAUUAUCGAGUGAUGUUGGCUGAAUAUAGUGCAAGGAAGGGUUUCAUCUAUCAAAAUCUCUCAUUAAUGGAGGGAGAGAGUAUUGAUGAUCAACCCUGUAACCUGCUGAUAUUAUCAUGCUCAGUAAUUUAAAAGAAAUUAACAGCAUAGAAUUCAAAGAAUUUUUUUUAAAACUACACAUCCCCCUUUAGAGUUAAGAAUGGAAAAUAGAUUAUGUUUGGCCUUUCAAAAAAUUUUACUUAUAUGAAAACUCUAUAUAAAAUUUUUCGAUUGGGUAAAUGCUUAGAUUAAAAAAUCGACAUCCCCUGAAGAAAUCUUAAAGGGAAGCUGGGAAUUCAUUCUCAAAUCAGUUAUUGAGUUUCUUAUCUUCUCUGACGAAUUUCACAUCCGGCGUCUGUCUGUGAAUAACUCUGAUCUGAUCUUAUGAUAUCAACAAUUUGUUUGCUCCCUCUAAGCACUGUGAGUAUUUCCAGGAUCAACUAGAAAAUUUUGAAAAUCGUAUACCUUUUGAAUCUGCAGAUGGAUGGCUGACGUUUUUGAAAAUCAACAAUGAAAGUAUAGACCUCUCAACUUUACUCUUAAUUAAUCCAGCUCGUGCUUCAUUUUACAGUAGCACUUUAGCAUUUUCUGGGUCAUACAAAUAUGUUCCAGUCCUGCCUUCUGAAGUAGUGAAGUUAGCAUGUGUCUACAGUCCUGAGAUUGAAACAUCCCUUUUCAGUGUUCUGUGGCUUCAAGCAGAAUUUAUCAUUAAUCCAGAUCAGAACCACAGCGGUGUCUCUUACAGCAUUAAUGACAAUGGGAGUGUAUCAGAGCUGAGAAUUGUAAAUAAUGGAAAUGAAAGCCGUAUAGAUGGGUUUUAUUCCUGUUGGGUGCAACCAGCAGAUGCAGCUAGUCAGGGAAAAUUAUUAAUUUCCUACGGUUUGGAUGUCAUUAAACCAGAAUCAGCUAGCGAAUCAGUAUUUCAUGCAAUCAAGAAUCGAAUAUAUACUGGAACAGAAAAUCCCUGUUACUUUCUGGUACUAUUACUUCUUUUUCCAAUCCUAAUCAUACUCUGCUGCUGCAAGGAAUGCAAGGUGGAGAGAAAAUAUAUCCAUGCAACAACUGGGAGAAAAAAUCAGGAGAGAGAUAAGUACUCACGACCCAAAGUACAGUAUUUAAAACUGCCAAAUCUAGAUCAAAAUGAAAAAUUCCUAAUAGGAGACGGACAAAGUUCUGGUUCUGAAUCUGAAGGUUCAAGGUUUGAUAAAGGAGAAUGCUCAAAAGAUAACAAAGGUGUCUUGGUUGACAAAGAUGGGAAACCUCGUAAAGACAUCAACGAGAGCCAUAAGAGGAGGUUAACAAGUGGAACUCAGGGCACCCUUGAUUCCAUCCAGAAUCCUCCGACUCUAGAUCUUCAAGGCCAGGAUGAAACAGGGAAUGGCCGUAGUUCUUUUCAAGCAAAUCUAGCUGAGAGGAUAUUAAGCUCAAAAAUAGCAUCCGAUUCACAAUGGCAGACUCAUUUGGGUUACUCAGGAUAUAGCACCUCUGAGGAAUUAUUACUUGGAACAGUUGAGUAUCCAGAAGUUGAUACUUCAGUUCAGAAAUUGAAGAAUCCCAGCAGAAAAAAUCUUGAAAAACCGGGUUUCAGGAAAGCACCUGUUCCUACAACUUCCGCUUCCCUCAAAUUUAAUGUUAAUACUGCUGGAUAUGAAACUACAGCAGGUGAAGAAAUUAAAUAUAUCCACCUUUUACUGAAGCACGGCUAUAAAUACAGAAGUAAAUUUUCUUUCAAACUCUUAUCCAAGAAUGUUUUUUAA